AGUCGAACGAAGGCUUCGGCCUUAGUGGCGCACGGGUGCGUAACGCGUGGGAAUCUGCCCUUGGGUUCGGAAUAACAGCGAGAAAUUGCUGCUAAUACCGGAUGAUGUCGCGAGACCAAAGAUUUAUCGCCUGAGGAUGAGCCCGCGUUGGAUUAGGUAGUUGGUGGGGUAAAGGCCUACCAAGCCGACGAUCCAUAGCUGGUCUGAGAGGAUGAUCAGCCACACUGGGACUGAGACACGGCCCAGACUCCUACGGGAGGCAGCAGUGGGGAAUAUUGGACAAUGGGCGAAAGCCUGAUCCAGCAAUGCCGCGUGAGUGAUGAAGGCCUUAGGGUUGUAAAGCUCUUUUACCCGGGAUGAUAAUGACAGUACCGGGAGAAUAAGCUCCGGCUAACUCCGUGCCAGCAGCCGCGGUAAUACGGAGGGAGCUAGCGUUGUUCGGAAUUACUGGGCGUAAAGCGCACGUAGGCGGCUUUGUAAGUCAGGGGUGAAAGCCUGGAGCUCAACUCCAGAACUGCCUUUGAGACUGCAUCGCUUGAAUCCGGGAGAGGUGAGUGGAAUUCCGAGUGUAGAGGUGAAAUUCGUAGAUAUUCGGAAGAACACCAGUGGCGAAGGCGGCUCACUGGACCGGUAUUGAAC
rnacentral:rRNA from 1 species